rnacentral:rRNA from 1 species
GACGAACGCUGGCGGCGUGCUUAACACAUGCAAGUCGAACGGAAAGGCUCCAGCUUGCUGGAGUACUCGAGUGGCGAACGGGUGAGUAACACGUGGGUAAUCUGCCCUGCACUCUGGGAUAAGCCUGGGAAACUGGGUCUAAUACUGGAUAUGACCUUUCUCCUUAUGGGGUUUGGUGGAAAGUUUUUCGGUGUAGGAUGAGCCCGCGGCCUAUCAGCUUGUUGGUGGGGUGAUGGCCUACCAAGGCGACGACGGGUAGCCGGCCUGAGAGGGUGAUCGGCCACAUGGGGACUGAGAUACGGCCCAGACUCCUACGGGAGGCAGCAGUGGGGAAUAUUGCACAAUGGGCGGAAGCCUGAUGCAGCGACGCCGCGUGAGGGAUGACGGCCUUCGGGUUGUAAACCUCUUUCAGCAGGGACGAAGCGUAAGUGACGGUACCUGCAGAAGAAGCACCGGCUAACUAUGUG